rnacentral:lncRNA from 1 species
CUCAGGGAGGGCUCAGCUCUCACUCUUAACCACAAGUAGGGAUUUUGGUUGUUUCUUGCUUCUUUGAAUGGGAUUUGGGGCACAACAUAGGCUAUGAAAACUUGUUUGGAUUUCAGUCAGGAUCCCACUUUGAACCAAGUCUUAUUUUUUAUUUUUGAAUUUAAUUUAAUUUUUCAAUUUCCAAUAUAAGCUGAAAGAUGAGGACUAAUUUGAUUCAUUUUGGUCUCCUCUUCCUCUAUUCUCCCCACCCCCCCCAUAUAAUUUUUUAGGUCUCUACUUCAUGCAUAUUUAGUAAUACUAGCUCUCCAAGUUUAAUUUAGGAAAAUGAUUCUCAAGAACAAAACAUUGGUGUGUCAAUUUUGAUUGGGGACCAAAACUCUAAUUUUUAGAGCAGCUUUUGUAUUUAGUAAGUUUAGAUCCUUUCAAACUACCUUGUUUGCAUAAGCCUUCCCUGCUGAGCUCUCAGUGACAGGAUCUUGGCCCCACACACAUCCACACACUCUAACCUUUCUCAUUUCCAGGGGCUGCUUUCCCUUAUGGGACUAGACCCCAGGAAUUGUGCUUAUCCUCUCAGCAACUGGGAUGUGAACUAGAGGGCAGUUUCUGGUGCGUUUUCUAAGAAACCUCUGAAUUCUAGCUAAAAAAAAAAUUAUAAAAUGAGAAUAUUUUUUUCAAUUUUUUAAAAUUAAUCUUUUUAUAAAAUGAAAACUCCUGUGAUUAAUAAAGGAAGGCAAUUGUGGUUGUGUGGUUUUGGGAUUAUUUUUUUAUUACAGUUUGUGUUUUAAAUUUAAAUUUUCUCAAAAGACAUUGAGAGAAAACAAUUAUCUGUAAUGAGUCCCUAUGCUUGCUACAAGCAGGUGAAUCAUAAGGAGUUCAUAUGUUGUUUAAAAAAAAAAAAAGAAAGAUUGCCUCCUUCCCCUUCUGUACCUCUGCCUUUUCCACCUUCAGAUGGUUGUACUACUUUUUGUUCCCUCACUUUGCGAAAUUUCUAUAGUUUAGUUGAUUUUGCUUGAAUGAUUCAUGUUUAGGGGGAAAAAAUUAAGUUUGUUUCAACUCCUAGAGCAAAUAAAGAAAAUAAGCACUCUCA